rnacentral:tRNA from 1 species
UCCCUGGUGGCUCAGAUGGUAAAGCAUCUGACUGCAAAGCAGGAGACCUGGGUUCAAUCCCUGGGUCGGGAA